rnacentral:lncRNA from 1 species
CUGAUCGAGGACCUUGCAUGGAGAUUUAGUGCGUGGUUGCCGUUUCACAUGCCCAACUAGUAGAAUAAGGAUCGUGCAUAGCCGUUUUUCUGUUACUUCUCUUUUUUUUAAGGGGGAAUCUGCCACUUUAUUUAUGAAUUAAAACAGGUCUGGGAUCUCCAUAGAGACCACCGAAAUCACAAACUCCGGGGGAACCAUAAGCCAAACCUUACAAAGUUCAUCUCCUACUCCUACUUUUGCUAACUUAUGCGCGGCAGAAUUCGCAGAAUGACCCACCCAUGAUACUUUCACAUCGUCGAAGAACCUGAACAUGUCCUUGAUCUCUUGCACCCUUGGCCCCAAGGCAGCCAAGCUUUUCUCCUUCGCUUGAAGCAUCGACGCCACUGUUUUGUUAUCAGUCUCCAGAUGGAGUUUCCCGACGUUGAUCUCGGCAGCUAGUUGGACGGCGCGUCUGCAUGCAAGCAACUCCACACUUUCAGGAUCAGACUCAUGAUGAAAAACGUGACAUGCUGCUGCUCGAAAGUCCCCCGCGUGGCCACGCAGGAUGACUCCCGCUCCUCCCUUGUUGCCAAACUUGGAGACUGCACCAUCAGCGUUGGCUUUGAUCCAUCCUUGGUCUGGCGGUGUUCACUUGGCAGCUUCUUUGGUGGCUUUUGCUUGGGUCUCCUUCCUAUGAACAGCAUACCAUUCGGCCAUAUACGCGCAAACAGAGUUCAGUAUUUCAUGUGGUGGUGCAAUCCUCUUUCCAUCCCUUGUCUCAUUCCUUGCCAGCCACAGCCCAUAGCAAGCCUGGAUCAUCGUGGCUCUCUCCUCCUCUCUUGCUUCCGCGAACCACCCAAGCAGCCAUGAUGAUAGUGCGCUCGAGGAGUCGAUCUGACACGGUGGGGCUGCCACCAUAACACCUUUCUCCGAGCGCAUCAUCCUCCAGAACAAGGCUGAGUGCGGACAUGUCCAAAAACGAUGGAGGAGAUCCUCUUCCCGUCCACAUGCCACGCAAAACACCCCUGGCUUAAUAUGCCGCCGAUGAAGCUCUGUCCCAACAGCUAGUCCAUUUCUCAUAAGUCUCCACAUAUGAAUCUUUGCCUUGCUUGGAGCACAAGUAUCCCACAGCGCUAGCCAGCCCUUGUGUGCAUUGACCGAGGAAGAAGGGCUCGGCCUUCCGGACUUCACCCCAUUCAAUGCCAUCCUCAGGUGAUAGGCUGAUCUUACCGUGAAUAGCCCGUUCUUCGUAAAGUUCCAAGCCAUGUAGUCCUCCAUGUUCGGCCCACCAAUAGCUAUCUGCUUAAUAUCUCUUGCAUCAUCUGGUGAAAACAUAUCAUCCACCAGCUCCUCGUUCCAUCCCUGCGCAUCCGGUGUCAUAAGGUGCUGCACCUUGGUAGCCCCUGGAAUAAACAUUUGCCCCAACGGCUUCAUGCUGCCACGCCUUGGGAUCCAAUUAUCGUGAUGGACGUUGAUCUUUGACCCAUCACCUAUGCGCCAGAUCAUACCUUCUCGUAGCAGGUCCCGUCCGUAAAUCAUACUCCAGAAGGUGUAUGACGCCCCGGAUGGGCAAGUAGCGUUCAUGAUAGAGCCGUCUCUAUAGUACCGAGCCUUCAAGACUCUAGCGCAGAGGGAUUCCGGGCAUUGCAGCACUCGCCACGCCUGCUUAGCUAGCAAGGCUUGGUUAAAAGCUACUGGGUCUCUGAACCCCAGCCCCCCUUCCCUCUUUGCCAGGCACAUCUUCUCCCAUGCUACCCAAUGCACCUUCUUUUCUCCAUUUGCUUCACCCCACCAGAAGUUUGACGAAAUUGACUUCAGGUUCCCGCACAUUUUCUUUGUGAGUUGGAAGCAGCUCAUGGUGAAAGUUGGUGUAGAUUGCAACCCCGAUUUGACAAGUACCUCUCGUGCUGCUUUAGAUAGGCCUUGCCCUUUCCAUCCUGAGACCUUGCCUUUCGGGCACUCCAUUACAUACUUAAACGUUCCGUCUUUAGAUUUGCCCACCACUGUUGGUAACCCCAAAUAUCUAUCGCCAAGGGCCUCUGUUUGGAUCCCAAUUGCUUGCAUCAACGGCCCCUUCUCAUCAUUAGCACAUCCCUUCCCGAAAAAAAUAGUGGAUUUUUGAAGGUUAACUUUUUGUCCAGAGGCUGCCUCAUAUUUGAUGAGAAUCCCUUUAAGCACCGCCAAAUUAUCCUGAGAUCCUUCCAAGAACACUAUGAUAUCAUCUACAAAUAGAAGGUGUGUGAUGCGGGGGCCAGUGCUCCCAAAUGAUACACCCCUAAUAUCUUUGUUCUGUUGCGCCCUCUUAAGUAAAGCUGAGAAUCCUUCUACACAAAAAAGAAAGAGGUAGGGCGACAGGGGGUCACCUUGCCGCAGCCCCCUUGAUGGCAAGAAACCUCUGGAACAGCCUCCAUUUAACUUAACAGCAAAAUUGGCUGAUGUAACACACUGCAUUAUCAUGGAAAUCCACCUCUGGUUGAAACCAAAACGUUCAAGCAUUUGCUGCAAAAAGAUCCACUCAACUCUAUCGUACGCCUUCAUCGUGUCCAGCUUCAUAGCACACAACGGUUUCUUUCUCUUUCUAGUCCGUAUCGCAUGAACACUCUCAUAUGCAAUCAACACAUUAUCCGUUAUGAGUCUUCCGGGAACAAAGGCACUUUGUUCUUCAGAGAUCAACACCGGAAGGAUGGCUUUUAAUCUGUUGGCAAGCACCUUAGAAGCUAUUUUGUACAACACAUUACACAAACUAAUUGGUCUGAACUGUGAAAGUAACUCCGGUGAGUUUACUUUAGGAAUUAUCACAAUAACUGUUGCAUUAAAACUGUCAGGAGCUGCCUCGCCUCCCAAGAAAUCACGUACAGCUCUGCACACAUCUUCCUUUACCAGAGACCAGUGUCUCUGGUAAAACAUUGCAGGUAAUCCGUCGGGUCCCGGUGCCUUGGUCGGCCCCAUCUGGAACAACGCCCUCUCGAUCUCCAAGUCUGUGAUCGCCGAUGUGAGGUUAUCAUUCAUCAAGUCAGUAACCAAGGGCAUAAUGUUCUGUAGCAACAGUUCAGCAUCCGCCAAUCCCUCCGACCGGAACAGGUUCUCAUAGAAAGUUGCCGCCAUCUCCCGCAUGCCCUCAUCCGUAGUGCAUUUUGAUCCAUCUUCUAUCCUUAGAGCCUUGACCGUAUUCUUUAUCUUACGAUGUGAGCAUCUAUUCUGGAAGUACUUAGUAUUCUGGUCCCCAGCAGCAAGCCAAUCGACCCUUGAGCGUUGUUUAUAAAGGAUCUCCUCCUUCUAAAAAAUAUCACGUAGCUGACCCUUAAUGUCCCGGACCUCCAGUGAGCAUCCAGUAACCAGGGAUCUCCUCUUAGCAUCUUCCAGUUGUGUCUUAAGCUUACAUAUUUGUUUUCUAAUCGAACCAAACACAUGUCGCCCCCACUGUUGCAUAUCCCUCGUGACCAUCUCCAACUUAGCCCACACCGCCGAUAUACCUCUGUCGCCGUUACUUGCUGCUUGCCACGCCGUCGUGACCAUAGCCUCAUACUCAACAUGUUUCACCCAAGCUUCCUCCCACUUGAACUGGCGCAGUCCUUUGUUCGUGGUGCAUGGAGCUGUCUCCAUCGCACGUAUGACAAGAGCAACAUGGUCGGACUCCUCAGUCACAAUGUGCUCGACAGUAGUAUCCGGGAACAUAUUAGCAAAGCCAUCAUUGCUCGUGGCCCGAUCGAGCCUAACUUGGAUGUUGUCCUCCCCCUCACGCCUGUUGUCCCAAGUGUACGGAUAUCCUGUAUAUCCAAGAUCCACCAAGCCACAAUCAGCUAAACAAACCCUGAAAUCCUACAUUUGAUUAAAACUCCAGGUGUUCCCACCAAAUUGGUCAGCCUAAAACAUUGCUUCAUUAAAAUCGCCUGCACAAAGCCACGGAAAGUUAUCUUGGGCUCUAAGAAACCAGAUUGCAUCCCAAGAUUUCUUCCUCAGCUCCUUCCUAGGUUCCCGUAGAAACCAGUGAAUCUACAGGUCUUGCCCUCCAGCUGUAUCUCUGCAUCGAUGAAGUACUGACACCACGGUCUAACUGUAACCUGUAAAUGAUCUCUCCACCAUAGCGCAAGUCCGCCACUAAGGCCCACACAAUCCACCGCCACUCCAUUCCGAAACCCUAGCCUCCACAUUAUUCACUGCAUUGCGCCCGCCCUCUUUUUUGUUUCACUCAAAAAAAACACCGCUGGGUUGUAUGACCGUAUCAGGUCCCUCAGUUCGCCAACUGUCGAGUCCAACCCCAGUCCUCGACAGUUCCAGGCCAAGAUAUUCAUUGGUCACGGCGGCCCUGUGCCCCAGGGUCCGCCGAUGAAUCUUUCAAGUCAGCAAUGCGAUCAAACACCGAGGAAGUUUUUUGCCUUGUUUCGCGAAUGAACGCAUCAUUCUCAGCUAUCUUCUCAUGCUCUCCCUUAGCCACCCAAUAUUGUUUAGGGCCCCUUUUCCUGCUAAAAUUACCAGCUCUCCCUCUGUAUUCAUUUUGACCCGGGACCCCAUACUCCUUCCGGGGCUUUCUACGGUACGUACCUUGCCGCCUUCCAUGCACGCCAUGCAUAUCGGGUCCCCCCAGUGGGUUACCCCAGCCCGAACCAUCAUUACGCCCGUCUGCAUGGUGCCCGUUAACAAACCGCCCUUCAUCAUGGCGCCCAAGUGGCCCAUUCACUGAAUAUUUCCCUCUGCGGUCUCUCUCUGUUUCCACCGGGCCGCUCCCAUAUCGCUGCUGCUGCUGUUCUGUAAGCUUACUCCUCAGGUCUUGCUCCCGUCGUUGUUCGAGCUUAUCUCGCAAAUCAUGUUCUUUCGGAGACUCCUUUCUAUCACGCACCUUGUGUGGGCUAUCAGCCUCUCCCUUGUCUGUAUGAGCUCCCUCGCCAAUGCGAGUGCCCUUAGACUGGGAGAAUUCAGGGUGCAGAUUUCUUUUGGUGGGUAGAUCCCUUACCCUCGGGUGCUCCGACCUGGAUUGACAACCAUCGCCAGAAUACGAGAAGCUCCUGCUGUUUGAACUGCUUGUUGCCCCGCCUACAGAGCCCUCCUUUACUUGAUUGUUUCUUCCCGGGGAUGCUCGCAGCCCCCCCCCCCCACUGAGAGGAUGAAUUGAUAGGCGGAUCACAUACCCUGCCCACAUGCACUAACCUACCACACUCAAAGCAGAAGUGUGGCACUUUUUCAUAAAAGAAAUCGAACCAAGUUUUCUCCUUGUCAUCCUUGUUCUUCUUCAGAUAGAAGCCCCGAACUAGAGGCUCGUAGAUAGAUAAUUUUGCCCGAAACCUCAGGUUUGCACCCCUAGCAAUUCCCUCCUUGUCCACAUCUACCUUCACAGUCUCUCCCAGCCAUUUGCCCAGAGCCUUACCAAAUGUUUCUGUUCUCUUAUCAGGUGGCAGAUCAGUCACCCUCACCCAUACAUCUACCUUGUCAAACACCAUCUCCGAGGGUCUGGUGCUGCCCUCAUACUCCUUUAUGACUAAACCACUGAAAUCAUACUGCCAAGGGCCAUUGUUUAGGAUAUGUUUAUAGUCACCUUCACUCCCAAAGUGCACCUCGAAAGUAUUCGAACCCAUCUCAUCGAAUUUCGCCUCCUGGUGCAAACCCCAAGCCCUAGGCAUUGUUCUCUCCAGCACUGACAUCUUCAGCGGGCGAGGAGAGCACACCUUCCCCACUGCUGCCCAUCGAGUCCUCUGUGCUGGUUGCAGGAUUUGGAUCUUCAAACACAAAGCCAUCUACUUCCUUGUCCAUGAGAACCAUGCCACCUAGUCUCGCAGAUAAGCUGGCGGCCGGAUCCGGGGUUUUGCACUCUACCGGGGAUACAGAGGAUCCCCGGCCUGCAGAUUCGUCCUCCUUCCGCGAUGGCGGCGUCUUCGCCGCCGCAGAUGGGGGGGGGCGUCGAUUUCCCCGGAGUGGCCGACGCCUUGGACGCCGUUCCUCCCGUCAUUAGCAGCACUCCUUGACAGGGAUCACAGCCCUACCGACCCGAGUCCCUUAGAGCGCCAUCGCCCCUUGAACCCCGCCGGAAUCUCACCACCCCCGGCAAGCAAAACCCUAACCCUAGCGCCAAGACUCGAUCGCCUCGCGAUCGCCCUUAGCCUCCUUAGCGUCCCUCCGCCUUCUCUAUGUACCCUGCUCACUGCAUUUGCUUCGUAGUGAAUAAAUGAUGAAGCUUGUGCCCUCUUCGAAUUUAUUCUUGUGAUCAUUAAAAUUUCUAUUGAAUGUUUUCUGGGACCGCACUACAGUAAAAUCAUAGAGUUG